rnacentral:other from 1 species
AAAAUUCUGCCCAAUUCGUUAUAUGUGUCUAUUUAACCCUACAACUUUUUUAUCGGGAGUUUCUCUCCUGCGGCGGACUUCAGACCUCCCGCAAAAGCGGACGAAGGGAGUAUGAAAUCGCAGGGAAAACACCCACCUGCUACUAUCUCGUAGGCAGGUUAUCUAAGACACAAACGGUUGGGUGGAUUUUUU